AUCUAAGUAUUCAAAAUUAUGAUAUUAAAUUGCAAAUUUAAAGGUAAAGCAUUUUCUUAGAUU
rnacentral:tRNA from 1 species